UCGUACGACCUAAUUUUCUUUUUUUUGCUAAACUGUAAAUAUCAUAUAGAUGAAUAAAAGAUUUUACAAGAGAUGAUCUUAGUUUUUGAACCAUCUUGACAAAAAAUAACAAAAAACAAGAUGGAGCACUGAAAAUUAUACCCUACUAGAAACUAUCUCAACCACAUCACCAUGAGGACCUUGUAGCUCUUUCGAACUCUCCUCGCAGAAAUGAUGUUUCUUAGCUCUUUGUCAAUACCGUAGAACACUUUAGAAGUCGGUAUACUUGACUGAUUAUGCACCAAAUUGUACGACCUAAUUUUCUCUUACACAAAUGAGAGUUUUCUCAAGUUGUCUGAACUCAGAUCGCAGCUUCGGUGAAUGAUCGGAGAAGUGCGAGAUAUGAAGAAGAAAGAUGUUUAUAUUAUCUAUGGAUUUGUGUAUUUCGCUACACAGUUAUCUUCUUCUUCUUAUUCCACUUAUAAUCUUAUGUCUUUCUUUUGAUCUCAUCAGAUGCUUUUUGCUCGUUUCCAUCAAAAUAAUUUUUUUUUUUGGAAAAAAAACUAUUUUGAUACAAACGAGUUAAAAGUAGAAAGAUUAAGUCUUUUCAGAGAAGAGCCUCCAUGUAUUUUCG
rnacentral:lncRNA from 1 species